AGGCUUCAAUCUAAGGAAAAAAGAAACAGAGGAAGUUAUUAUUACUCUUCUUGCCAUGCUGAUGUGAAAACGGUGCUAGACAGCAAACUCCAGGAAAGAAAAACCUCAGUUAUUCCCAUCAGCACGCUUGUAUUCCCUGCUGGGAAACAAGGAGGCAGAGCAGCCCUACCAGCUGGCACCCCUUUGCCGUCACAGAACCUGUUCCAGGAGCCACCAGAAACAAAAAGCUACAGCUUUACAAAAACAGGGAUAUAUGUCUGUAGAUAUGGGAAUACAUGACGUUUCAAGAUCACUACAUAACUACCAGGUCACUUCUGGAUGUGUUGAACAGUACGGACGCCAACACAAAUAGUUUACUUGUGACUUCUGGUCAUUGAAGCUUCCAAACAACAGAGCUUCAGUCAAACUUCUGUAAUUUCUAGUAUUUGCUAAACACUUGAAAAGUUUUGAAAUCACAAAUUUUAACCGUAAAGAUGUAUAUACAUGUAUUUAUAUAUGAGGUCUGAAAACUUGAAGACUGUGGUGGCAAAGGGAAGAAAAAAAAGAAAGAAAAAACAACUACUAAAUACUGCAAUGCAGGUAUUAGGGUGCUCAGUAGGUGAGAGCAGAGUAGUUGAGUUGUCACCAACUACCUGAAUAACUACUUGAGCAAGUCCAAUAAAUGUCUUUAACGAGAAAGCUGCCUUCUAACUAAAACUAAAAAUUCUUCUCCACAGCCACAUGUUGUGAUGUAUGAAGUGGGAGGCUGCUCUGGUCACCGUGUCCCUGAUACAGAGAGGUGACAACUGGAAGAUAUUCCAGGAUGCAGUCGUGACCUAAGACUCAGCAAAAUUGGUCAACGUGUGCACACACACACAGACACACACACAGUUUCUGAGAGGAAAUCAGCAGAACACCCUUGAGAUGAAAGCCAACCACA